AGAGUUUGAUCCUGGCUCAGAGCGAACGUUAGCGGCGCGCUAACACAUGCAAGUCGAGCGGGAAUGGGGGCUUCGGCCUCCUAGUACAGCGGCGCACGGGUGAGUAACACGUAGGUAAUCUACCCUUGGGCGGGGGACAACCUUCCGAAAGGAGGGCUAAUACCGCAUAAGACCACGACGCUUACGGGCGUUGAGGCAAAAGAUGGCCUCUUCAUGAAAGCUAUCACCCGAGGACGAGCCUGCGGCCCAUCAGCUAGUUGGUGAGGUAACGGCCCACCAAGGCUAAGACGGGUAGCUGGUCUGAGAGGACGAUCAGCCACACUGGAACUGAGACACGGUCCAGACUCCUACGGGAGGCAGCAGUGGGGAAUCUUGCGCAAUGGGCGAAAGCCUGACGCAGCGACGCCGCGUGGGUGAUGAAGGCCUUCGGGUUGUAAAGCCCUGUUUUGGAGGGACGAACCGGUCUCGACCCAAUACGUCGAGAUCCUGACGGUACCUCCUUAGAAAGCACCGGCUAACUCUGUGCCAGCAGCCGCGGUAAGACAGAGGGUGCAAACGUUGCUCGGAAUUACUGGGCGUAAAGCGCGUGUAGGCGGCUCGCUAAGUCGGGUGUGAAAGCCCUCAGCUCAACUGAGGAAGUGCACUCGAUACUGGCGAGCUAGAGUACCGGAGAGGGUCGUGGAAUUCCUGGUGUAGAGGUGAAAUUCGUAGAUAUCAGGAGGAACACCGGCGGCGAAGGCGGCGACCUGGACGAGUACUGACGCUCAGACGCGAAAGCGUGGGUAGCAAACAGGAUUAGAUACCCUAGUAGUCC
rnacentral:rRNA from 1 species